rnacentral:rRNA from 1 species
UACGAAGGGUGCAAGCGUUACUCGGAAUUACUGGGCGUAAAGCGUGCGUAGGUGGUUUGUUAAGUCUGUUGUUAAAGCCCACAGCUCAACUGUGGAUCGGCAAUGGAAACUGUGAGACUAGAGAGUGGUAGGGGUAGAGGGAAUUCCUAGUGUAGCGGUGAAAUGCGUAGAUAUUAGGAAGAACACCAGUGGCGAAGGCGCUCUACUGGGCCAUUACUGACGCUGAUGGACGAAAGCUAGGGGAGCGAAAGGG